rnacentral:rRNA from 1 species
GACGAACGCUGGCGGCGUGCCUAAUACAUGCAAGUCGAACGAGAGCAACCGGUGCUUGCACUGGUCAAUCUAGUGGCGAACGGGUGAGUAACACGUGGGUAACCUGCCCAUCAGAGGGGGAUAACAUCCGGAAACGGAUGCUAAAACCGCAUAGGUCUUCGAACCGCAUGGUUUGAAGAGGAAAAGAGGCGCACGCUUCUGCUGAUGGAUGGACCCGCGGUGCAUUAGCUAGUUGGUGAGGUAACGGCUCACCAAGGCCGUGAUGCAUAGCCGACCUGAGAGGGUGAUCGGCCACAUUGGGACUGAGACACGGCCCAAACUCCUACGGGAGGCAGCAGUAGGGAAUCUUCCGCAAUGGACGCAAGUCUGACGGAGCAACGCCGCGUGAGUGAAGAAGGUUUUCGGAUCGUAAAACUCUGUUGUUAGAGAAGAACAAGUGCUAGAGUAACUGUUAGCGCCUUGACGGUAGCUAACCAGAAAGCCACGGCUAACUACGUG